CGCAAAUGGUUCUGGCCUAGACCCACCCACAGCGGCGGGCAUCACCCAGGCCGCGAACAAGAGCUUCCUAACCCUAGUUCGGCGACGACUCGGCGCGCGGCGGCGGUUGGUUCGGAGCCGACGAGGGCCACGUGGGGCACGCGAAGGGAGCGCAGCCGCCGGCCUCCGCCGUGGUUGCUCGCGGCAUCGGCGAGGACGACCUCCUCGAGGGGUUUCGCAGCCCAGGUAAGUCAGAAAGAAAUAUUCCAUCCUCGGACAAACUUCUCUUGUUGCAAUGGAAUCCAAGUUCUUUCGGUUCCUGAAGCUUGUCGGAGUUGGUUUCAAAGCAAGGACAGAGCAAGGAGGCCGCGAGUUGUUUCUGAAACUAGGCUACAGCCAUGAGGUGCAGUUCACCGCUCCACCCGCCGUCCGCGUCUUCUGCUUCAAACCCAACAUAAUAUGCUGCACUGGCAUUGACAAGCAUAGAGUGCACCAUUUUGCCGGAGCCGUCCGAAGCAGUAAACCUCCGGAAGUGUACAAGGGGAAGGGCAUACUGUACAUUGAUGAGGUCAUAAAGCUGAAGCCGGGGAAGAAGCAGCAGAAGAAGUAACACGUGGGUGAGCCUCCCCAUUUGACUUCUAGCCUGCUGUUAAGGCGCCGCGUAGCGUUUGUUGCUGCAGAUUUCAUGUGGUUUUCUCUGUGCUGGGCUAUUAUGGCUAGCCCCGGUACCAGGCUGGACUUCGUAAUAAUACUCCGUAUGUGAAUCGUCUGAUGAACAUGCAUACCGUUGGGUGGGGGUGGAUCAGCGGAUUCCAACAUUUUUGUUUUGUUUUGAGCUGGCUGGAUGUGACGUAUCUUCAAUAGUUCAAUGUGUUUGUUGCUGACACAA